AAGGGGAGGAUGUUUUGACAUGCUACGUCCUGUCCUGAAAUAAUGGUUAUUCUUGAUGACAGAAGUUGAAAGUAGAUUUUCUGUAAUUUGACGUCGAAUUAGGUUUCAGUCGGGUAUUGUUUUCGGUUGUAUGUUUUAAUUGAGAAUCACCAGCUGAGAAUUGAUAAGCUUAAUCAAAGAGUUGGGAGCCUCAUUGGGUUCCAUUGCUC
rnacentral:lncRNA from 1 species